AGAGUUUGAUCCUGGCUCAGGAUGAACGCUAGCUACAGGCUUAACACAUGCAAGUCGAGGGGCAGCGGGAUUGAAGCUUGCUUCAAUUGCCGGCGACCGGCGCACGGGUGAGUAACGCGUAUCCAACCUUCCGUACACUCAGGGAUAGCCUUUCGAAAGAAAGAUUAAUACCUGAUGGUAUGAUGAGAUUGCAUGAUAGCAUCAUUAAAGAUUUAUCGGUGUACGAUGGGGAUGCGUUCCAUUAGGUAGUAGGCGGGGUAACGGCCCACCUAGCCAACGAUGGAUAGGGGUUCUGAGAGGAAGGUCCCCCACAUUGGAACUGAGACACGGUCCAAACUCCUACGGGAGGCAGCAGUGAGGAAUAUUGGUCAAUGGACGAGAGUCUGAACCAGCCAAGUAGCGUGAAGGAUGAAGGUCCUACGGAUUGUAAACUUCUUUUAUAAGGGAAUAAACCCUCCCACGUGUGGGAGCUUGUAUGUACCUUAUGAAUAAGCAUCGGCUAACUCCGUGCCAGCAGCCGCGGUAAUACGGAGGAUGCGAGCGUUAUCCGGAUUUAUUGGGUUUAAAGGGAGCGCAGACGGGUCGUUAAGUCAGCUGUGAAAGUUUGGGGCUCAACCUUAAAAUUGCAGUUGAUACUGGCGUCCUUGAGUGCGGUUGAGGUGUGCGGAAUUCGUGGUGUAGCGGUGAAAUGCUUAGAUAUCACGAAGAACUCCGAUUGCGAAGGCAGCACACUAAUCCGUAACUGACGUUCAUGCUCGAAAGUGUGGGUAUCAAACAGGAUUAGAUACCCUGGUAGUCCACACGGUAAACGAUGGAUACUCGCUGUUGGCGAUAUACUGUCAGCGGCCAAGCGAAAGCAUUAAGUAUCCCACCUGGGGAGUACGCCGGCAACGGUGAAACUCAAAGGAAUUGACGGGGGCCCGCACAAGCGGAGGAACAUGUG
rnacentral:rRNA from 1 species